ACGCUCGACACCUACGGGAGGCAGCAGUGGGGAAUAUUGCACAAUGGGGGAAACCCGUGAUGCAGCGACGCCGCGUGGAGGAAGAAGGUCUUCGGAUUGUAAACUCCUGUUGUUGGGGAAAAAGAGGAUGGUACCCAACAAGGAAGUGACGGCUAACUACGUGCCGGCAGCCACGGUAAUCUGAGCGGGCUGGCAAGGC
rnacentral:rRNA from 1 species